AUCCAGCUGACGAGUUAUGAAUAGGACGAAACGCGAGUCCUGGAU
rnacentral:hammerhead_ribozyme from 1 species